CGACUUUCGAACGCAUAUUGCAGCCUAGGUCAUCCCUUGGCUUCGUUUGUCUGAGCGUCGUUAAUAAGCCAAAAACUAUCAAAAGAUCAGUAUCAACUGUCGUGUUGGCCCAUCCAGUUGGCCGACUCGUCUGAUCAAUUUAAACACAAAAUUGCUUGUCAUUUUGAGACGCCCAUACGCGUAAAAAGUUUGCACUUGGUUAUGCGUGUUUAGGUUCGCACCUAGUGUGAUCCUAAAAUGUAGGGCUUUUGGCAAUACAAGCCAAUAUGCCUGAGCAUUAACCACUAUAAGUGUCUUUUUACAUUACAUGCGAAUGCGGAUCAAUCGUUUCAUUGAUAAUGACCAAGUCAAGGUGUUUGAACCACUCUUUUGAUGUGUGUUUUACUCUCUCACCAGUGUAAAAUGCUUUCUUGUUAACUCUCGACCUCAGAUCAAGCGAGAUUACCCCCUGAAUUUAAGC
rnacentral:rRNA from 1 species